UCUCGGCUUAUCACCGGCAGUCCCCUUAGAGUGCCCAACUAAAUGCUGGCAACUAAGGGCGAGGGUUGCGCUCGUUGCGGGACUUAACCCAACAUCUCACGACACGAGCUGACGACAGCCAUGCAGCACCUGUCUUGGGACUCCGAAGAGGGGACUCGGUUUCUCGAGCCUUUCCCCAAGAUGUCAAGCCCAGGUAAGGUUCUUCGCGUUGCGUCGAAUUGAGCCACAUGCUCCGCCGCUUGUGCGGGUCCCCGUCAAUUCCUUUGAGUUUUAGCCUUGCGGCCGUACUCCCCAGGCGGGGUGCUUAAUGCGUUAGCUUCGGCACGGAACGGGUUGAAGACCGCCCCACACCUAGCACCCAACGUUUACGGCUGGGACUAC
rnacentral:misc_RNA from 1 species